rnacentral:rRNA from 1 species
UACGAAGGUCCCAAGCGUUAUUCGGAAUUAUUGGGCGUAAAGGGCGCGUAGGCGGCCAUGCGUGUCUUCCGUGAAAUCCCUCGGCUUAACCGAGGACGUGCGGAAGAAACUGCAAGGCUCGAGUCCGGAAGAGGGGGGCGGAAUUCCCAGUGUAGCGGUGAAAUGCGUAGAUAUUGGGAGGAACACCAGUGGCGAAGGCGGUCCCCUGGGCCGGAACUGACGCUGAGGCGCGAAAGCGUGGGUAGCAAACGGG